UACGUAGGGUGCGAGCGUUAAUCGGAAUUACUGGGCGUAAAGCGUGCGCAGGCGGUUCGUUGUGUCUGAUGUGAAAGCCCCGGGCUCAACCUGGGAAUGGCAUUGGAAACUGGCGAGCUAGAGUGUGGCAGAGGGGGGUGGAAUUCCGCGUGUAGCAGUGAAAUGCGUAGAUAUCAGGAGGAACACCGAUGGCGAAGGCAGGUCUCUGGGCUGACACUGACGCUCAUGCACGAAAGCGUGGGGAGCAAACAGG
rnacentral:rRNA from 1 species